ACAUCUCAGCAUACGGAUAGGAGAAGAAGAAGCAUCUACUCGACCAAUUGAUCAGAUCGCGAAUGAAACAUCUUAGCUUGUGGUUUUGCCAGAUCGCGAACGAAACCUUCGAUUCCUCCUUGUUUAGUAUGUUAUGUGUUGAUGGCGAAGGAAGGAGUUAGAUAUGGUUGUCGUAGGUGAGCUCCGAUGAAGUCGAAGUGAUGU
rnacentral:sRNA from 1 species